CAACAAAGAAAAAUUGUUGAAGUAAUUAUUAUUUGCAAAGAAAAUCCCUUACCUGGCAAACUCAUGCCAGCAAAAUUACAUCAUAUUAACCAAUACAACUCUGAAAGCGCUAGCGAUUGCUUAUUGUGAAUGAAUAAUGCGUUCAGCGAAGAGCAAGCAAACGUCAGUUAAAAUACAAAAGUGGUAUAGGCAAUUUUUUUAUAUAUUUUUAUUUUAUUUAUUUUUUUUUUAAAGAAGUCAAUGCAAAAAUAUCACGAAAAAGGCAAGCAACGGGUGAUUCAAGUAAAAUUACUUUUUUUCAAUAGUUUUUUGCAAUAGAUCAGGCGUGAGUCGUGUGAAGCUGUCAUGUAAUAUGUUUUUACUAUUGUUUGGCAUUUCAUCAUGAAAAGCCUUAUGUUAGAACAACGUUUACGAAACUUUAUUACGAAAAUUCACGCAUUUCGCUCAACUUAUAAUCAACUAAUCCACCUACUGAGCGUGCUAUACUCAAAACCAUCACCCAUCUUGAGACCCAGCAUUCGUUAUUGGAUAAUAUUCGACCGAAUUGACUACGCCCAGCAAGCAAUGAAGUAAAUUUAGCGACCGUAGCUGAGAGUGUACGUACACGAAGCUCGUGAAAAGUCAAUUUGGCGCCGUUUGCAGCAAUUCGUACCUGCGGUAUGAAACGACUUGUCGCAUUUUAUGUCGAGAUCUUAAAUUGAAAGCGUACAAAAUACAACUUUUGCCUCACUUGAAGCCACUCGACCUUCUCAAGCUGCAAAGUUGCAAGAAGAACCGAGGUUUCGGAUCCAUUUCAGGCUUAAUGGAUAUGCAAUUAAGCAAAAUUGCUGCUCUGGUUGCUCUUCGUCCUUGCAGAGAUUCAAGAGAUGUCAUUUCAUUCAGAAAAAAUCAAUGGUUAUGUGUGUUUUGUAGGCCGAUGCAAUCAUUAGUCCAUAUUUCUGCAGAUAUGAUGCUGAUGAGAACGUUAUUGCGCAAUGAUAACCGACUAUUCGAUGCCUAAAAUUAAAGCACGUGAACUCGGCAACAUUUGGUUCCCACACAUUGCAUUAAUCAAAGCAUUUAUUGAGAGCAAACUUCGGUGAGCAGAUAAUUUCACGUUUUGAGCCGGUCUAUUGUCCAUCAAGAUCAGGUCUCGGAGCAAAAUAUCGUGCGUGUCAUUCACCAGUUAACAGUCGAAGUGCGCGAACGAGUCAUCGAAACUUGUGGCUAUAUGAGACGUAGCCACGGCCAAAAUUUGAAAGCGAUAAACUUCAAAAGAUAAAUGCCAAAGAAAGUUCUUUGGAGUGAUAUUAAUAUUGGAGAAUAAAUUUGAAUGGGAUGACGGGGAAUGUCAAUCA